GACGAACGCUGGCGGCGUGCCUAAUACAUGCAAGUAGAACGCUGAAGGAGGAGCUUGCUCUUCUGGAUGAGUUGCGAACGGGUGAGUAACGCGUAGGUAACCUGCCUGGUAGCGGGGGAUAACUAUUGGAAACGAUAGCUAAUACCGCAUAACAGUAGAUGUUGCAUGACAUUUACUUAAAAGGUGCAAUUGCAUCACUACCAGAUGGACCUGCGUUGUAUUAGCUAGUUGGUGGGGUAACGGCUCACCAAGGCGACGAUACAUAGCCGACCUGAGAGGGUGAUCGGCCGCACUGGGACUGAGACACGGCCCAGACUCCUACGGGAGGCAGCAGUAGGGAAUCUUCGGCAAGGGACGGAAGUCUGACCGAGCAACGCCGCGGGAGUGAAGAAGGGUUUCGGAUCGUAAAGCUCUGUUGUAAGAGAAGAACGAGUGUGAGAGUGGAAAGUUCACACUGUGACGGUAUCUGACCAGAAAGGGACGGCUAACUACGUG
rnacentral:rRNA from 1 species